AUACUUACUUUGGAAGAGAAAUAUGGUCAUGAAGGUGGUUUUCCUGGAAUGAGCUUUAUCCAUUGUGUCUUAAAUGUGCCAAUUCCUGUGAUUUUCCCAGAAAAAUUCAACUGUAUGAUUUGUGGCAGUUGUGGCUGUGUUUAUACUUUUCUGGU
rnacentral:snRNA from 1 species